UCCCUGGCAGUCCAGUGGUUAGGACUCUGCACUCUCAUUGCAGAGGACCCAGGUUCAAUCCCUGGUUGGGGAA